GGGUUGUGAGGUUAAGCGACUAAGCGUACACGGUGGAUGCCCUGGCAGUCAGAGGCGAUGAAGGACGUGCUAAUCUGCGAAAAGCGUCGGUAAGGUGAUAUGAACCGUUAUAACCGGCGAUGUCCGAAUGGGGAAACCCAGUGCAAUUCGUUGCACUAUCGUUAACUGAAUACAUAGGUUAACGAGGCGAACCGGGGGAACUGAAACAUCUAAGUACCCCGAGGAAAAGAAAUCAACCGAGAUUCCCCCAGUAGCGGCGAGCGAACGGGGAGCAGCCCAGAGUCUGAAUCAGCUUGUGUGUUAGUGGAACGGUCUGGAAAGUCCGACGGUACAGGGUGAUAGUCCCGUACACCAAAAUGCACAGGCUGUGAACUCGAAGAGUAGGGCGGGACACGUGGUAUCCUGUCUGAAUAUGGGGGGACCAUCCUCCAAGGCUAAAUACUCCUGACUGACCGAUAGUGAACCAGUACCGUGAGGGAAAGGCGAAAAGAACCCCGGCGAGGGGAGUGAAAAAGAACCUGAAACCGUGUACGUACAAGCAGUGGGAGCACCUUCGGGUGUGACUGCGUACCUUUUGUAUAAUGGGUCAGCGACUUAUAUUCUGUAGCAAGGUUAACCGUAUAGGGGAGCCGCAGGGAAACCGAGUCUUAACUGGGCGUUAAGUUGCAGGGUAUAGACCCGAAACCCGGUGAUCUAGCCAUGGGCAGGUUGAAGGUUGGGUAACACUAACUGGAGGACCGAACCGACUAAUGUUGAAAAAUUAGCGGAUGACUUGUGGCUGGGGGUGAAAGGCCAAUCAAACCGGGAGAUAGCUGGUUCUCCCCGAAAGCUAUUUAGGUAGCGCCUCGUGAAUUCAUCUUCGGGGGUAGAGCACUGUUUCGGCUAGGGGGUCAUCCCGACUUACCAACCCGAUGCAAACUACGAAUACCGAAGAAUGUUAUCACGGGAGACACACGGCGGGUGCUAACGUCCGUCGUGAAGAGGGAAACAACCCAGACCGCCAGCUAAGGUCCCAAAGUCAUGGUUAAGUGGGAAACGAUGUGGGAAGGCACAGACAGCCAGGAUGUUGGCUUAGAAGCAGCCAUCAUUUAAAGAAAGCGUAAUAGCUCACUGGUCGAGUCGGCCUGCGCGGAAGAUGUAACGGGGCUAAACCAUGCACCGAAGCUGCGGCAGCGACACUAUGUGUUGUUGGGUAGGGGAGCGUUCUGUAAGCCUGCGAAGGUGUGCUGUGAGGCAUGCUGGAGGUAUCAGAAGUGCGAAUGCUGACAUAAGUAACGAUAAAGCGGGUGAAAAGCCCGCUCGCCGGAAGACCAAGGGUUCCUGUCCAACGUUAAUCGGGGCAGGGUGAGUCGACCCCUAAGGCGAGGCCGAAAGGCGUAGUCGAUGGGAAACAGGUUAAUAUUCCUGUACUUGGUGUUACUGCGAAGGGGGGACGGAGAAGGCUAUGUUAGCCGGGCGACGGUUGUCCCGGUUUAAGCAUGUAGGCUGAUUAUCCAGGCAAAUCCGGAUAAUCAAGGCUGAGGUGUGAUGACGAGGCACUACGGUGCUGAAGUAACAAAUGCCCUGCUUCCAGGAAAAGCCUCUAAGCAUCAGGUAACAUCAAAUCGUACCCCAAACCGACACAGGUGGUCAGGUAGAGAAUACCAAGGCGCUUGAGAGAACUCGGGUGAAGGAACUAGGCAAAAUGGUGCCGUAACUUCGGGAGAAGGCACGCUGGUGUGUAGGUGAAGCCCCUGCGGGUGGAGCUGAGACCAGUCGAAGAUACCAGCUGGCUGCAACUGUUUAUUAAAAACACAGCACUGUGCAAACACGAAAGUGGACGUAUACGGUGUGACGCCUGCCCGGUGCCGGAAGGUUAAUUGAUGGGGUUAUCCGUAAGGAGAAGCUCUUGAUCGAAGCCCCGGUAAACGGCGGCCGUAACUAUAACGGUCCUAAGGUAGCGAAAUUCCUUGUCGGGUAAGUUCCGACCUGCACGAAUGGCGUAAUGAUGGCCAGGCUGUCUCCACCCGAGACUCAGUGAAAUUGAACUCGCUGUGAAGAUGCAGUGUACCCGCGGCAAGACGGAAAGACCCCGUGAACCUUUACUAUAGCUUGACACUGAACAUUGAGCCUUGAUGUGUAGGAUAGGUGGGAGGCUUUGAAGCGUGGACGCCAGUCUGCGUGGAGCCAACCUUGAAAUACCACCCUUUAAUGUUUGAUGUUCUAACGUUGGCCCCUGACCGGGGUUGCGGACAGUGUCUGGUGGGUAGUUUGACUGGGGCGGUCUCCUCCCAAAGCGUAACGGAGGAGCACGAAGGUUAGCUAAUCCUGGUCGGACAUCAGGAGGUUAGUGCAAUGGCAUAAGCUAGCUUGACUGCGAGCGUGACGGCGCGAGCAGGUGCGAAAGCAGGUCAUAGUGAUCCGGUGGUUCUGAAUGGAAGGGCCAUCGCUCAACGGAUAAAAGGUACUCCGGGGAUAACAGGCUGAUACCGCCCAAGAGUUCAUAUCGACGGCGGUGUUUGGCACCUCGAUGUCGGCUCAUCACAUCCUGGGGCUGAAGUAGGUCCCAAGGGUAUGGCUGUUCGCCAUUUAAAGUGGUACGCGAGCUGGGUUUAGAACGUCGUGAGACAGUUCGGUCCCUAUCUGCCGUGGGCGCUGGAGAAUUGAGGGGGGCUGCUCCUAGUACGAGAGGACCGGAGUGGACGCAUCACUGGUGUUCGGGUUGUCAUGCCAAUGGCACUGCCCGGUAGCUAAAUGCGGAAGAGAUAAGUGCUGAAAGCAUCUAAGCACGAAACUUGCCCCGAGAUGAGUUCUCCCUGAGACUUUAAGUCUCCUGAAGGAACGUUGAAGACGACGACGUUGAUAGGCCGGGUGUGUAAGCGCAGCGAUGCGUUGAGCUAACCGGUACUAAUGAACCGUGAGGCUUAACCUUACAACGCCGAAG
rnacentral:rRNA from 3 species